AGGCACCGCGCUGCUUCCCUCUGCUCUCCCUCACUGUACUACCCGGAGCUCCGAGCUCAGCCUCUGCUCUGAAGAAAACUGAGAAUGGAGCAGUACAGAAUGUAGCCAGAAGGAUGGUUCCACGACUCCCACCCAGGGUGAGAAAGAAGAGCUGUUUUCCAAUGGUUGCCAUAGACGGGUGAGAGAGAAGAGGAAGGAGGUGAGAGCCUACAAAAUUCUGCCAAGAAAGCAGAGAUUUGGGGGAAUUCAAGCCACGCUCUGUGGUUUUUGUAGGUGCGACUGGACCACUCACCACCAACACUUCACGCUCUCCUUCCCUUGCCGGGCGGACUGGGGGUAACGACGCCGAUGAUAUCCCGGGAUACCCGGGGGACUGAAUCAGGCAGAGCCACAGAGGCUGCAAACUACAAGAAUCAAAUCCCAACAUUAUUCCAUUUUGUUCCCUUCUCCCUUUUCUUAGCUUUGUCUCCUCUUCCAGGACCCCACCUGGACCUCAUUUCAAUGGAUCUCAGAUAAUUUAUUAAGGAAUACUAAGCAGUUUCUAUGUUUUUGGCUGCCCUGUUUCCUACAGUAUACAGACUAGAGUGUUUCCACUUGGUCCAAAACCCCGGCCGAGGUUGAGGGUAAGUGGUCCUUUACAAUACCAAGGCCUCUGACUAUAGGUCUAUUUCCGGUUAUUGGUGGAGGGUGUGUGUCAUCGUGCAAGGAGGGGAAACGACCAGGUCCCUGCCUGCUGAUCCUCUGAAAAAGACCUGCCAGGUCUUUGCCAGAGUGUGCCCUGAAAAACAGCCAAGGCACAAAUUAACACCCACUUUCCGGCAAUGGGAACAAUUCCUGAAAAAGCCACUUCCACAAAACCCGAGGCAACCUGGAAUAAUCCAGGAGCCAAGACACAAUUUAUUACUUCACAAAGAACAUAGAAUUCUGAUCCAGCAGCAAAGUAGCUGCUGGGUUUUUUUCCUUUCCCACACAAGCUGCAUUUCAAAGGUCUGACAGUUGCAAUUUACAAGCCCAGCCUGUGAGAGGAAUGCUUUACAUAGCCGAAGAUUUAUAGAAUGUCAUAAGUGAAGACAGCAUAGGGUAGGGAUCGGGUCCUCCUUAGUCCCUCAUCUUAGACUUGGGGCCACCGAGGCACGGGAAGAGCAAGCAAGAAACUUGCCCAGGAUCGCACACAGCGAUAGGCGAUGAGCCAGCCAGCCGUGAAACCGAGCUACUUGGACCCCGGAUCACUUCUGUCUCCAGCUCCUCCAAUCUUUCGAUCACAUUCGAACAUCAAUCAUGUUCUCCAAGUAACGUUUUAAAAGAAAUAUUUUUCAUUUUCAAACUAGCAGAAUCCAAAAGGGGAUCCAGGCAUAGCUGAGAAGUACGGAGCCUCGCAACAGCAAGGGUUAAUUUUUAACCCUUCCAAGCCACGUUGCCAUGAAAAGAGGUAGUCGGUAAGACGGGGCCUGACGUUGCGGUGUGCGUCCGGCGACCCAGGACAACACACGAAGGCACUGCUUGUGAGAAUGUGAAUGGCAAAACCAUUCUGAAGAGAGAGAGAAAAAAAAAAAAAGACAAUAUGAAUGAGAUGUCCAAACCUCAGUUUUGAGCCAGAAUUCCCACUUUAGGAACUUUCGCUGAGGAAGACACCAGAAGGAAGAGCAAACAUGCAAUGUACAUGUUUCCAGCAAAACACCCAGAAACAAUGAUCCCGGAGCCGGAUGGCGAUGCUUAUCUCUGCUCCAGCAUCUGUCAAGCCUUCCUAAUUACUCCUGCAGGUGGCCAGAUGGAAUGGGCUUGUGCCCAGGACAGAAAUGUGACCUCAGUGACUAAUGCCCUUCCUUCCCCUGGUACAAAGGAGUCUUCUUUCUGCUCCCUUGCAGAUGUGCUCGACGAUUCUUCUUCUUCCGUGUAUGCUCAGAGAAGCUGAUGUAGGCAAGGGGGCUCUAACUCUGACAUCAGCUGGCCUGGGUUUGAGGACUGGCUCUGCCAUUUAUUUGCUGCCCAACUUUAAGCAAGUAUCUUCACUUCUCCAAACCCGAUUUUCUUCUUGUGUAAAGGUGUAAUUUAUACAUCACAAAAUGCACCAGCCUUAAGUGUACCGUUCCCCGAGUUCAGACAAACAUUUGCAAACAUUACAGAUGUUUAUACUCAUGUAUCCACCACCCGAGUCAAAGCAGAGAACAUUUCCAUUACCUGAGAAAUUCCCUCCUGCCCCUUUCAAGUCCAUUUCUGUAAACCGAAGCAUCCACUUCCCGAUUUCUGUUACCAUAGCUUAGUUCCACCUGUCUUAGAACUUCACAGAAACCAAACCCUGUGGAUCAGCUCUUCUGUGUCUGGCUUCUUUUGAUCAACAUAAUGGUUUCGAGAUUCAGCCAUGUUGUUGGAUCACAGUUUGGUCCUUUCUGUUGAAUGUGUCUCUUGUGUGAAUAUACUCUGAUUUGUUUAUCCACUCACCUAUUGAUGGGUGUUUUCUGUUUGGGUCUGUUAUGAAUAGAGCUGUGAUUAACACUCUUGUUCAAAUCCUCUGCGUGUAUGUGUGUGUGUGCACGUGUAUUUUGAUUUCAAGUCCUCUUGUGUGUGUGUGUGUGUGUGUGUGUAAGCAU